rnacentral:rRNA from 1 species
GGGUUGUGAGGUUAAGCGACUAAGCGUACACGGUGGAUGCCCUGGCAGUCAGAGGCGAUGAAGGACGUGCUAAUCUGCGAAAAGCGUCGGUAAGGUGAUAUGAACCGUUAUAACCGGCGAUGUCCGAAUGGGGAAACCCAGUGCAAUUCGUUGCACUAUCGUUAACUGAAUACAUAGGUUAACGAGGCGAACCGGGGGAACUGAAACAUCUAAGUACCCCGAGGAAAAGAAAUCAACCGAGAUUCCCCCAGUAGCGGCGAGCGAACGGGGAGCAGCCCAGAGUCUGAAUCAGCUUGUGUGUUAGUGGAACGGUCUGGAAAGUCCGACGGUACAGGGUGAUAGUCCCGUACACCAAAAUGCACAGGUUGUGAACUCGAAGAGUAGGGCGGGACACGUGGUAUCCUGUCUGAAUAUGGGGGGACCAUCCUCCAAGGCUAAAUACUCCUGACUGACCGAUAGUGAACCAGUACCGUGAGGGAAAGGCGAAAAGAACCCCGGCGAGGGGAGUGAAAAAGAACCUGAAACCGUGUACGUACAAGCAGUGGGAGCACCUUCGGGUGUGACUGCGUACCUUUUGUAUAAUGGGUCAGCGACUUAUAUUCUGUAGCAAGGUUAACCGUAUAGGGGAGCCGCAGGGAAACCGAGUCUUAACUGGGCGUUAAGUUGCAGGGUAUAGACCCGAAACCCGGUGAUCUAGCCAUGGGCAGGUUGAAGGUUGGGUAACACUAACUGGAGGACCGAACCGACUAAUGUUGAAAAAUUAGCGGAUGACUUGUGGCUGGGGGUGAAAGGCCAAUCAAACCGGGAGAUAGCUGGUUCUCCCCGAAAGCUAUUUAGGUAGCGCCUCGUGAACUCAUCUUCGGGGGUAGAGCACUGUUUCGGCUAGGGGGUCAUCCCGACUUACCAACCCGAUGCAAACUACGAAUACCGAAGAAUGUUAUCACGGGAGACACACGGCGGGUGCUAACGUCCGUCGUGAAGAGGGAAACAACCCAGACCGCCAGCUAAGGUCCCAAAGUCAUGGUUAAGUGGGAAACGAUGUGGGAAGGCACAGACAGCCAGGAUGUUGGCUUAGAAGCAGCCAUCAUUUAAAGAAAGCGUAAUAGCUCACUGGUCGAGUCGGCCUGCGCGGAAGAUGUAACGGGGCUAAACCAUGCACCGAAGCUGCGGCAGCGACACUAUGUGUUGUUGGGUAGGGGAGCGUUCUGUAAGCCUGCGAAGGUGACCUGUGAGGGUUGCUGGAGGUAUCAGAAGUGCGAAUGCUGACAUAAGUAACGAUAAAGCGGGUGAAAAGCCCGCUCGCCGGAAGACCAAGGGUUCCUGUCCAACGUUAAUCGGGGCAGGGUGAGUCGACCCCUAAGGCGAGGCCGAAAGGCGUAGUCGAUGGGAAACAGGUUAAUAUUCCUGUACUUGGUGUUACUGCGAAGGGGGGACGGAGAAGGCUAUGUUAGCCGGGCGACGGUUGUCCCGGUUUAAGCAUGUAGGCUGGUUGUCCAGGCAAAUCCGGAUAAUCAAGGCUGAGGUGUGAUGACGAGGCACUACGGUGCUGAAGUAACAAAUGCCCUGCUUCCAGGAAAAGCCUCUAAGCAUCAGGUAACAU